GUUUGUAGGACCCAAGAGUGGAACUAACUAUAAAUAAAAACCAACUCUAGGCUGUCUCCAUUGCCCAAGCAAGGAAGUGCAAAAGGAAAACAGACCAGAAAAACACGCGCUGUUUAAAAUUAUUUCCAAUAAUCCUGAGCUAGAAAAUUUCUUCCCACCUCCCAUCAGGAGAUUUUACAAAACCAACGUUUAGUUUGUAACCCACAGGGAAAGGCUGCGUCCAGCUCCCCUCCUCAGUCUAGCUGGGCUUUAAUCAAUAGGCCGGGAGUGUAGUAACGGGAAACAGAGACGGUGCUGCAGAGAGGCGUCCUAGGAAAGUCCCGGACCUUUUCUUUUAUUCCCUUUCUUACAGACAGGUUACUCAUUACUACAUGAUUGAUAUACUUGUUUAUUUCCUACUAAUUGGUUAAGGCUGGCUUUCCUCAAUGGGCCAUUGUCUUGUGUCUUCCGUGUAACUAAGACUUGCAUAACAGAGUGUACCUACUGUACCGUACUAU